UUAAUUCAAAUUUGUAUGGAGUUGAAAUGUUUGCCUACGUUUGCCUAGGGGUUCUAUUUCAACUGCAUACAUAUUUUGAGUUA
rnacentral:pre_miRNA from 1 species